UAGAAAACUGUACAUUUCUUGUCUAUUACCACCUACUGCAACUUAUACCAAUGACGGAAAUAAGCGCAGUUACAAUAGCAAAAUAUGUGGGAGAGCGUUGCUAUAGUGUGACAAUAUUGUAUUGCAAUAGGGAGCACAUUAAUGUUAAUACUAAAUCUAAACUAGCACAUCAUUUGUAAUUGAAAGGGUUUAAUGACAAUAUCUGAUUAUGGUUACACUUAAAAUAAUUACAAAAUAGAUGUAUGAGAUGAUAAAAUCAUAUACCGAUAAUCGUUCCCAGCAUGUAUGUAAAGAGUUACACUUAACAUAACUGAACUUUAUUGAACACUGGCACAGUGUCAAACCCUGCUUAGAGUCGUGGCUCCUCAGUAGCGACCUCACUAAAGGCAGGCAUACACUGUGCGAACUUUGCGCAAGAGUUAUGCCGAUGAAGACGUCUCAAUCCCUUGUCAAUUAUUCACCAGCCUUUACAAAAAAAAAAAAAAAAGUAAAACCGACGAGCUUUCGGUGCAUAUUCUCUCAGAGACAACGAGAGAUAAAUCCUACUUCAACCUGAUAACGUGUUUUUGCACCAUCUUUGUAACCUACAAAGUCUUGUUCUGAAAGAGCUGGUGAAACUGGUGAAGAGCUUCUUCUUUUCGUUCAGCACAUUGAGCUUCAGUUCACACGCCUCAUGACAUCAAACCCCAGAAACACCUUCUAUGAAGUCAAAGAGUUUCUCAAGAGCUCCAGAUGUUGGAUCAGGAUUUAUCCUGCAUCAGCAUAAAAAGAAAGAAAAAGAGGAAGUACAGAGGAACGUCACAUUGUCUGAGUUUCGAUAGUAUUUCAGCAAACUCAUGAUGAAUAAUGUGUUCAGUUCAGCUCCUCUGACUACAUAAUGUGUGUGUGUGUGUAAAUCUGCACAAGUGUCAUGUGACUGUGAGGGUUUUGCACU